GCUCAAGCGGCAGAGGAGGAUGGUGCGCAUGCGGUGCCCCUACUGCAGCGGCACGGCGCGGCGGUGCGCCACCACCCCCUCCGGCCGCUGCGUCACCGAGUGCUGCUCCUGCGGCCGCGUGGUGGAGGAGCGCCAGCUCCACACCCACCACCUCUUUUCCCUGCGCGCCUUCGACAAUCCCCUCCCCCUCGUCACUCCCGACCUCCUCCACCUCCCCUUUCCCCCACCUCCCCCCUCCCCCUCCCCCUGUGCCGCCACCGCCGACGACGAGGAGGACCCCUUCCACCCCACCGGCUUCAUCACCGCCUUCUCCACCUGGUCCCUGGAGCCUUCCCCCCUUUUCGUCCGCUCCGCCUCCUCCUUUGCCGGCCACCUCGCGGAGCUCGAGCGCACCCUCGAUUCCUCCUCCUCCUCCUCCUCCUCUUCCUCUAGCUCUGAUGCCUCCGGCGGGCCUCUCGUCUCCAUGGACCACCUUCGGGCUUACCUCCAGAUCUUGGAGGUCUCAUCCAUCCUGGGGCUGGACCACGACAUUGCCGACCACGCCUUCCAGCUAUUCCGGGACUGCUCCUCCACCACUUGCCUCCGCAACCGCAGCAUCGAGGCCCUGGCGACGGCUGCGCUUGUACAGGCCAUCCGUGAGGCCCAGGAGCCACGAACCCUCCAGGAAAUAUCUACAGCAAGCAACCUUCCUCAAAAAGAAAUUGGCAAGUACAUCAAGAUUCUUGGGGAAGCUCUGAAACUUAGCCAACCCAUUAAUAGCAAUUCAAUUGCAGUUCACAUGCCUAGGUUUUGCACGCUACUCCAACUUAAUAAAUCAGCUCAGGAACUCGCAGCUCAUAUUGGAGAAGUUGUCGUGAAUAAAUGCUUUUGUACUCGUCGGAACCCAAUUAGCAUCUCAGCUGCUGCCAUCUACCUAGCAUGUCAGCUGGAAGAUAAACGUAAAACCCAGGCUGAAAUUUGUAAAGUGACUGGUUUAACAGAGGUCACUCUUCGUAAAGUGUACAAAGAGCUUUUGGAGAAUUGGGAUGAUUUGCUCCCACCUAACUAUACUCCUGCAGUGCCUCCAGAGAAGGCUUUUCCAAUGACUACAAUCACCUCGGGCCGUUCUUCUACUUCCAAAGUGGAUGUGGUUGAUCUUUACCAUUUGAAUGCAAAUCAUGACAAAGACAAGCACCCAGAAACUGUUAAACCAAAUAAAGCUUUUGAUUCUAUGGAGUGUAGUCAUACAGUCACAAUGAAGGAGACAGAGAAAAAAAGCAAUUCUCAUGUCCGUUCUCGUACAUCAUUUGAUUCCCGGGACUUGAAUCAGGGAGCGUUCUGCCAACCACAGCAGGUUCCUUUUGGAAUGUUUUCCUGUAAGCUAGAGACAGAGAAGGAUCGGAAGGAUGAUCAAGGCAUCAUCAAUCUUAAUGAAACUGAGUCCAGCCUAUUGGAGUAUGAAGGCAGCAAGGACUUGAAAAUUUGUGAUUCUGCUCCACAAAUGGCUCAAACAUCAGUUCCCUCAUCCUCAAAAAGGUACACAAGUCCAUGGCAUUUGAAUGCACCACCAGCUGUUUCAGGGUAUUAUUCUCGGUUUGAAAAGCAACAUAUAGGCGUUGACUUUGCAUCUGGAUCUAGAGAGAUUGGGAAAAGUGGGAGCAAUGAUGCUGAUGGCCACUACCACAAGGAAGAGAAUUAGUAGAGAACCAAAUGAAUGUAUGCAGUGUUGACUUGUUUUUUGUCAUCAUAUGUGGGAUAAAUGAGUGUCAGGCCUUAGGAUGUUCGCCAUCCUGUUAUAUGAGCAUGCUAUAAGUGGAUGUGACACAACUGUAACCCGAUUCUUUAUGUUGAGGCUUGUGCUGUAUGAGACUGGAGCAGUCUAUCAAUCAUCACAUCAGCCUGGUCUAGCUAGGCAGGCAUUAAAUGAAAGGAAAUUUGGGGGAAAUCAAGUCCUUGCAGUUUCUUAUCCAGAGAACAAGUUUGCUCAGGGAGACUUGGAUGGCUAGUUGCUUCCAAUUUUGCUCCACCAGUUGUUUCCACGUUUACUGUAUCACAGUUCAGUUAGGAGCAAUACUCUUCACCAUGUUUGGACAUCUUAGCAUACAUUGAUUAGAUUCAUGUGCUAACCAGUCUAGUGUGACAAUUUGGCACUCACUUUUUUCUUUUUGACAGGCAUCUGCUUAAGAGAAACUCAUUUCAAUGGGACUAUAAUCAGUAGAUGUAACACAAUUCCAAUA